rnacentral:rRNA from 1 species
GAUGAACGCUAGCGGCAGGCUUAACACAUGCAAGUCGAGGGGUAGAAGUUGCUUGCAACUUUGAGACCGGCGCACGGGUGCGUAACGCGUAUGCAAUCUACCUUAUACAGAGGGAUAGCCAAGAGAAAUUUGGAUUAAUACCUCAUAGUAUAAUUGAAUGGCAUCAUUUAAUUAUUAAAGUUCCAACGGUAUAAGAUGAGCAUGCGUCCUAUUAGCUAGAUGGUAAGGUAACGGCUUACCAUGGCAACGAUAGGUAGGGGUCCUGAGAGGGAGAUCCCCCACACUGGUACUGAGACACGGACCAGACUCCUACGGGGGGCAGCAGUGAGGAAUAUUGGACAAUGGGCGCAAGCCUGAUCCAGCCAUGCCGCGUGCAGGAAGAAGCAUCUAUGGUGUGUAAACUGCUUUUGUACGGGAAGAAACACCCCUUCGUGAAGGGGCUUGACGGUACCGUAAGAAUAAGGAUCGGCUAACUCCGUGCCAGCCGCCGCCGUAAGAC